CCCGGUGCAGAGCUUUAUGAAGAGCAUGGACAACCCAAUGGAGAGGUCGGCCAAACUUAUGCAAAAGUUGGCCGAGCACAUGAAGAGGUUAUCCAUGCAUGUGGAGAGCUCAACCAAACACAUGGAGAAGUCGGGUAAUCACCUGAAGAGCCCGACAAUGAGAAUGGAGAGAAAGUAGUCGAGUAGUGUAGUGAUAACGGUUG
rnacentral:lncRNA from 1 species